rnacentral:rRNA from 1 species
AUGAACGCUGGCGGCGUGCCUAAUACAUGCAGGUCGAGCGAACAGACGAGGAGCUUGCUCCUCUGACGUUAGCGGCGGACGGGUGAGUAACACGUGGAUAACCUACCUAUAAGACUGGGAUAACUUCGGGAAACCGGAGCUAAUACCGGAUAAUAUAUUGAACCGCAUGGUUCAAUAGUGAAAGACGGUUUUGCUGUCACUUAUAGAUGGAUCCGCGCCGCAUUAGCUAGUUGGUAAGGUAACGGCUUACCAAGGCAACGAUGCGUAGCCGACCUGAGAGGGUGAUCGGCCACACUGGAACUGAGGCACGGUCCAGACUCCUACGGGAGGCAGCAGUAGGGAAUCUUCCGCAAUGGGCGAAAGCCUGACGGAGCAACGCCGCGUGAGUGAUGAAGGUCUUCGGAUCGUAAAACUCUGUUAUUAGGGAAGAACAAAUGUGUAAGUAACUAUGCACGUCUUGACGGUACCUAAUCAGAAAGCCACGGCUAACUACGUG